CUGUAAUAAGAGAAUGUUUCAUUUAUUUGUGAGGAUAUGAGACUGUCAUUUUGUAUGGUUGAAGCUCAGAGAUCUGGUUUUAGAUGGUAGGUGGUUUUAGAUCUGGUUUUAGAUGGUAGGUGGUUUUAGAUGGUAGGUGGUUUUAGAUCUGGUUUUAAAUGGUAGGUGGUUUUAGAUCUGGUUUUAGAUGGUAGGUGGUUUUAGAUCUGGUUUUAGAUGGUAGGUGGUUUUAGAUGGUAGGCGGUUUUAGAUCUGGUUUUAGAUGGUAGGUGGUUUUAGAUGGUAGGUGGUUUUAGAUCUGGUUUUAGAUGGUAGGUGGUUUUAGAUCUGGUUUUAGAUGGUAGGUGGAUUUAGAUCUGGUUUUAUAUCUGGUUUUAGAUGGUAGGUGGUUUUAUAUCUGGUUUUAUAUCUGGUUUUAGAUCUGGUUUCAUUUCUGAAUUUUAAUGUGUGUAGCACGG
ensembl:lncRNA